rnacentral:rRNA from 1 species
UCCCCUCCUGGGAAAGUGACCCGGUCUACCACCGGGAUGUUCAUAACCCUUUGUUGUCCGACUCUGUUGCCUCCGGGGCGACCCUGCCUUCGGGCGGGGGCUCCGGGUGGACACUUCAAACUCUUGCGUAACUUUGCAGUCUGAGUAAACUUAAUUAAUAAAUUAAAACUUUUAACAACGGAUCUCUUGGUUCUGGCAUCGAUGAAGAACGCAGCGAAAUGCGAUAAGUAAUGUGAAUUGCAGAAUUCAUGAAUCAUCGAAUCUUUGAACGCACAUUGCGCCCCCUGGUAUUCCGGGGGGCAUGCCUGUUCGAGCGUCAUUUCACCACUCAAGCCUCGCUUGGUAUUGGGCAUCGCGGUCCGCCGCGUGCCUCAAAUCGACCGGCUGGGUCUUCUGUCCCCUAAGCGUUGUGGAAACUAUUCGCUAAAGGGUGUUCGGGAGGCUACGCCGUAAAACAACCCCAUUUCUAAGGUUGACCUCGGAUCAGGUAGGGAUACCCGCUGAACUUAAGCAUAUCAAUAAGCGGAGGAACUCC